GGUUCGGUAGCUCAGCGGUAGAGCACUUGAUUGAAGCUCAAGGUGUCGGCAGUUCAACUCUGCCUCGGACCACCA
rnacentral:tRNA from 1 species